rnacentral:rRNA from 1 species
GUGUCAUUAAGACGUGAGUAACGCAGCUAACGCACUAAGUUGACCCGCUGGGGAGUACGGCCGCAAGGUUAAAACUCAAAUGAAUUGACGGGGGCCCGCACAAGCGGUGGAGCAUGUGGUUUAAUUCGAUGCAACGCGAAGAACCUUACCAUCCCUUGACAUCCAGUGAAUUUUCCAGAGAUGGAUUAGUGCCUUCGGGAACACUGAGACAGGUGCUGCAUGGCUGUCGUCAGCUCGUGUUGUGAGAUGUUGGGUUAAGUCCCGCAACGAGCGCAACCCUUAUCCUUAGUUGCCAGCGCGUAAUGGCGGGAACUCUGGGGAGACUGCCGGUGAUAAACCGGAGGAAGGUGGGGACGACGUCAAGUCAUCAUGGCCCUUACGGGAUGGGCUACACACGUGCUACAAUGGCGCAUACAAAGGGCAGCAAGCCAGCGAUGGUUAGCGAAUCUCAUAAAGUGCGUCGUAGUCCGGAUUGGAGUCUGCAACUCGACUCCAUGAAGUCGGAAUCGCUAGUAAUCGUGGAUCAGAAUGCCACGGUGAAUACGUUCCCGGGCCUUGUACACACCGCCCGUCACACCAUGGGAGUGGGCUGCACCAGAAGUGGUUAGUUUAACCUUCGGGAGAACGAUCACCACGGUGUGGUUCAUGACUGGGGUGAAGUCGUAACAAGGUAGCC